rnacentral:rRNA from 1 species
CUCAGCCAGGACAACCCCUGGAAUGUUCCUGAUCUCAUCAGACCUCGGAAACUAAGCAGGGUUGACCCUAAAUUAGUGCUUGGAUCAAUGACCACCAUGCAUAACAGGUAUUAUAGGAUGUGGGUUUUUGGUGGGC